AAAGAAGGAGAACGAAUGGACACAUAAGUUAUACAGCAGCACAAUGAUCAUAGCAACAGCAGAAAAUCUGAAUUGCUCAAAAAAUGAGUAGGUUCUGGAGUGGCCUUGUCAAAGUCCAGACUGCAAUUUGAUUGAGAUGCGGAGACAUGACAUUGUCAAUGCUCAAAGCCGAUGAACUGAAACAAUUUUGUAAAUAAGAGCGGGUCAAAACUUCUUCAAAGUGAUGAAAAGGAAUAAUUGCCAGUCACAACAAACACUGCUGUUGCCAGGAAGGUCAGAAUCAGUUACUGGGUUAGUGGGGCAACUGCUUUUUCUGAAGUCCUUCCAAUGGCUCCCUGUAGCUCAGAGAAAAGACUUUUGUUAGUUUAUAAAUCACUCAAUAGUUUAGCAACAAAAUGCAUUAAACAUCUAUGGUCGUUGAAUCAGUCUUCCAGACCUCUCUGGUUUUCUCUGGACUGCUCUGCAUCCCCAACAUGGAGAAGCAGCAUUCUGUUUAUGCUCCACUAAUCUGGAACAAACUUCCAGAAAACUGCUGACACACUGAGUUUCCUUAAAUCAGAGGUAGAAAUCCAUUUGUUUAGAGCUGCUUUUGACUAACAUUAGACUAAGUCUAGUCUGGAUUGCAACUUUUCAUUACUUAUAAUGCAUAAUGUUUUGGGGCCUUUUGUGUUUAUUGUGUUAUAUAAAACAGUUUGAAUUACCUUGGUUAUGAAAUAUGUUAUACAAAGCUUGGGUAGCUCAGGGUUGUCCUAGCUUGUUCUUCAGCUAGAAAACCCACUUCUGUUCAUGUUGAAAAACCAGACCAGACAUCAAUGUGUACUGUCAUUUGACAUAACUGAUUAUGUAAUAGAAUUGAAUGUAACAAAUAACUCUAUAUGACAAAGCUGGGACAAAAAAACUAUCUGUAAUUAAUAUCUGCUUAUGUAUUUCGGUGUUAGAUCCCACGAAUUCUGCUGAAUAAACCACCACAUACUAUUUCUGAAGGCCAAACUACCACUAAUUUGCAUUCAUACCUUAAAAGUUAAAUAUUUCCAGAUCAGUUUAGGAACCUCGGGAAGUCUCCCCAACUCUUCCCGCUGAAUUAUCUGGAUAUUUUAUCCGAAUGUCCCUUUAGAGGAACUAAAGUGCAGGUGGCUCCCGGGUUGUGCACGUGUCUCUGACACAACUGCAGCUCGCGCUCCCCCCGUUUUAACGACUUUGUUUACAGCUGAGCCUGUCAGUCUGGACCAAAUGUGCUCUAUAUCAUCCGACAUGAAAGCUAGAAACUGACCUUAAAGGACAGAACAGACCUCCGCAUCCUUAUGUCAGCAUCAUUAACGAGACUAAACCAUGGUACUGGUCUACGCCAGUGUCUGGUCUUUAGGACAGAGAACACGGGCUGUGAGGAUGGAUGGAGGGCUGCACUCACUCACUGCUGGAUGGUGCCUCUCGGUUGGCCGUCUGUCCUAACAUCAACGCCCUGGAUCAGCGUCGCGGCGUUUCCUCUUCUCUACCCGCGGCUAAAUCCGGUCAAACUUCCGUCUGUAUCCCGCACUCUUCCAGCCUGCUUGUUUACGCUAUUAUCUGGGGAUUUUUUUUUCUGCUUCUUCUCGCCGCAAACACAUAUAUAAAUAAAUAUA